UUCAAAUCACAUCUGUGUUGGCUUCAAGAGAGAGAGUGGGAGGUUGCCGCUUGGCUGACACUGGUUGUUGGAUUUUUAUCAUUAUAGGGUGGUUGUUUACACACACUGCCAACACACAUUUCAGUUCAAACAACUGCACGUAGCAUCAGAUGACCCCUUUAAACGUUCUGUUUUCAUAACAACAGACAGAAAGCAUUAUCACAUGUCUAUGGUUACUAUCUUCAGCAGACUUUGACGCAGGCCUGCUGAUGGGGUUUGGUCUGUCAUCAUCACCAUAGUGGCAUGAAGGGGAAAUCUGCAGGUUAGUAACAGCACCAACUGCUGGUCAAAGAUGUUAUAACAAAAUGAACUGUUGUGUGUCCCAUAAUAGUUCGUGAGCAGCAGAGAGCGUCAGAGUGGAAUAAACUCACGCGGUGGAGACAUACAGAGCGCGGAAUCACAACCAUGGAUGCUGUAAAUGCUGUGCAGCUGUUCAUAUUGGUUUGGACCUUUACUGCUGUCUGUCAAGCUGAAGAUUUGGAUAUCAGUGUAAGCUGUGAUGAUGUGACUGGAUCUGUGGGGAAAGAAGUAACUCUCACCUGCAGCGUCUCACUGCAGAGCCGUGAUUGUUCCAUUAAAAUGGGUAUGUUUCGAUACCCUAAUGACUCAGUCAUCUGUAAACAAAAGCUUCCUAAAGACUCCAGCUUCACAUGCCGCUACACUCCAACUACAGCGAUGACAGAAAAAUUCAGCUUCUUUGUGCUAACAAAUUGUGGAAGAAAUACAAAAGAAUUCACUGUGGACAUAU